AGCUUGCUGGGGGGAUUAGUGGCGAACGGGUGAGUAACACGUGAGUAACCUGCCCUUGACUCUGGGAUAAGCCUGGGAAACUGGGUCUAAUACCGGAUAUGACUCCUCAUCGCAUGGUGGGGGGUGGAAAGCUUUUGUGGUUUUGGAUGGACUCGCGGCCUAUCAGCUUGUUGGUGGGGUAAUGGCCUACCAAGGCGACGACGGGUAGCCGGCCUGAGAGGGUGACCGGCCACACUGGGACUGAGACACGGCCCAGACUCCUACGGGAGGCAGCAGUGGGGAAUAUUGCACAAUGGGCGCAAGCCUGAUGCAGCGACGCCGCGUGAGGGAUGACGGCCUUCGGGUUGUAAACCUCUUUCAGUAGGGAAGAAGCCUUUCGGGGUGACGGUACUUGCAGAAGAAGCGCCGGCUAACUACGUGCCAGCAGCCGCGGUAAUACGUAGGGCGCAAGCGUUAUCCGGAAUUAUUGGGCGUAAAGAGCUCGUAGGCGGUUUGUCGCGUCUGCUGUGAAAGACCGGGGCUCAAC
rnacentral:rRNA from 2 species